UAAUUUGUACAAAUAUUUAUUGCUUGAGGUUUAUUCAAAUCAACUAUGACGCUACUAAAACUAGUAGAGAAAAUUUUUAAAUGUGAAAACAUUUCAACAAAACAUUCAAAUGUUACAGCAUUCAGGCUUUUGUUAUAAUAUUGCUUGUUCAGAAUUCAAUAACAUCACUUUGGUAUCAACAAAUAGACAAAUCCAGAAGUACAUAUACAAUGUACAUGUGGUAAAACAAAAAGAUUUUCCAUUGAGUAUAUAUGAAAUAAACAAGAAAUGCAAAUGAUUAAACAGAAAAUGUUACUGGGGUGUUGAGUUUUAAUAUGAUCAAAUCUCACACAGAUGUGGCUUUUGCAUGUAAGGUUGUAAAAACAUCGACAUUAAUUGCACAUCUCUUAAGACAAACCCAGGCCUUGUAAUGUAAAGAAUUUAAUGAAUAUUAAGUAAAUUAUUUCUAUGAGAAAAUCUGAAAUGAAAUAGGACUAUUUAAUGACUGACUUAGCAUUAUCAUAGCAAAAAGCUCGAAUGAUAUCAAAAAGUACCCUCGAAAUGUAAUGGUACACAGAGCAACCAGUUUCUUUGAUCAACACAUUACCUACAUGAUAAGUGACAGCACAUGACAAAUUUUAUUUACUCCACCAGCUUAUGCCUGGAGAUUUGGAGCUAGACUAGGUUGUUUUUUUUGUGUCUUUAAAGAAAUUCCAAUAUUUCUUACAACUCACACUUGAGCUAUCAAACACUUGGCCAACCUUCUCCUUGCAUGCUGUAAGGUCUUGCAAAAAUCUAUGACGAAGAAAGGUAGAAAAAAAGAAAACUGAUGGGAGAUAUGAAGGACAUGGGCUUUUAUUUCUUCUGAUUUCUUCUGGUAAGCUGAACUGACACAUGGAGAUGAAGUUGGUUAGCAUUAGUGUACAAUUGAAGUUUUUUUUUUGUUUUGGAGUGAAGGCGAUUUUUUUUUUAAACAAGAAGGAAAAAGACACAUUUGUAGAAUUACUUGUCCAUAUAAUUAUCCUUAACAUAGAACUCUAUGUAGCAUAUGUAUAAUGCUCAAAUACUUUAUGUAAUAUUAGUAACUCUGUACAUUUGUCUUUUUACUUUUAUUAUGUGUCCCACAUUCAUUUGGAAUAGGAUUGAAUAAUUUAAAGCUAUAUAGUAUAUAAUAUUACAGUAAGAUGAAAAUUAUGUAAUAUGAAUAAUUACAAAUCAUACAAUCCUAAAUUUUCAUACAUUGUAACAGAAGAUAUUUCCUUCUUAAAAAAACAAACACAUUCAUUCAUGCACAGUUUUACUUACUAAAAAAAAAGGAAAAUAUUAUAUUUCAACUACUAAAA